GCGUUGUAAACAUACAUGAGCUUAAUUAACAACAUUGCACGGAGGUACCUCAUUGAUGAUUUAUCCAAAUUCAACAUGACAUUGAAUUUGUUUAUAUUCUUCGACUACGUUAGCUUUUUCUACAUUUUCAAAAGGACGAGGUCCCACCGAGAUUUGAACUCGGAUCGCUGGAUUCAAAGUCCAGAGUGCUAACCAUUACACCAUGGGACCGUACUGCCAAGAGGAGCGACAUAACGAUACUUAUUUACUAUUACGUAUAUGUUGACAGUUUUUUUUUUUUUUUUUCAGAUGCAUAUGCAUAUUUAUCGUGAAUUUGCUUUGCUUAAUUCAAGUAUUUAAGGUAAUAAUGUUAGUCUCUAAAUUAGCUUAUAGUCAAUGACAGUUUCUAGCAAACCAACAAAUCCCGAUUGGCUGGCUGCCCUUGACCUUUGACCUAAAAUGAAGUAACAUGCACAUUCCACAGUGUUCUUUGUAGUCUCUGAGAGGUUAUGACCUGUUAUAUCACUAUAACCGUCUGAACAUUUUGUACGUGGGAAAUGGAAAGAGAAGAACAAAGAGAAUAGUCCAUAUGUUCCUGCGAGAGGAUGACAGAAACAGCCAAUGGAUAACCAUAAGAGGCCCCUUUCUCUGCAUCUUUUACUUCCGUUCAUGCCUCUUACGAUCUUCCUUACUACGUCACUCCAUCACAUUUCUCCUCCUUUAUCUCAACAUUUUCCAUCAAUCAUUCCAACUCACAUGCCUGUGCACAAACACGACACAGAACCUUUCUUCUCCCACUGCAUGCCACAGGGCUGAAUUCCCCCAUGUGAUCAGACUAAUACCAUCAAACUUGUGUUAUAUUUCUCUUCUGCAUACACACGCACACAGCUUGACUUCAAGGCCUGAAACAGAAGCCUCUGCUAUACUACUCAGGCAGACACACCCAAGUAAAACAUGGACUCAUCUCCUUACAAACCCAAAUAUUAUAUUGAAGAAGAAGAAAAAAAACUGGCUGUCACAGACGGCUGAACAUUUCCAUGACUUACUGCGGUAACUGUAGAGACCAGAAAUCGUCUACUGCUAUUAGGUUAAGUAGGUUAUUGGCUGGGCCAUAAAUUGUUUUGUGUUGAAUUUAUGUUUUUCUUAAAGGGAGAGUAAAAUGCAAAAGUAAAUUUCAUUAAUUUCAUAUCUCUCAUCAUUUAUGUACC